UAACACGUAUCCAACCUGCCGUCUACUCUUGGACAGCCUUCUGAAAGGAAGAUUAAUACAAGAUGGCAUCAUGAGUCCACAUGUUCACAUGAUUAAAGGUAUUCCGGUAGACGAUGGGGAUGCGUUCCAUUAGAUAGUAGGCGGGGUAACGGCCCACCUAGUCUUCGAUGGAUAGGGGUUCUGAGAGGAAGGUCCCCCACAUUGGAACUGAGACACGGUCCAAACUCCUACGGGAGGCAGCAGUGAGGAAUAUUGGUCAAUGGGCGAGAGCCUGAACCAGCCAAGUAGCGUGAAGGAUGACUGCCCUAUGGGUUGUAAACUUCUUUUAUAAAGGAAUAAAGUCGGGUAUGGAUACCCGUUUGCAUGUACUUUAUGAAUAAGGAUCGGCUAACUCCGUGCCAGCAGCCGCGGUAAUACGGAGGAUCCGAGCGUUAUCCGGAUUUAUUGGGUUUAAAGGGAGCGUAGAUGGAUGUUUAAGUCAGUUGUGAAAGUUUGCGGCUCAACCGUAAAAUUGCAGUUGAUACUGGAUAUCUUGAGUGCAGUUGAGGCAGGCGGAAUUCGUGGUGUAGCGGUGAAAUGCUUAGAUAUCACGAAGAACUCCGAUUGCGAAGGCAGCCUGCUAAGCUGCAACUGACAUUGAGGCUCGAAAGUGUGGGUAUCAAACAGGAUUAGAUACCCUGGUAGUCCACACGGUAAACGAUGAAUACUCGCUGU
rnacentral:rRNA from 1 species